UUAGUUUUUCUCUGCAUCCGUCAUCUUUAGAAUUUGGUCUCAACUCUCAAGGUUUCUACUGGUUAUGGUUUAUAUUGUAUGUUAGGCCUACAAUUUAUUAUAUGCUGAACUUCUGGCCCUUGGUAAAUCACUUGCAGGUCGUCCUAUCAUUGUUGACUAUUCACCGGUGACAGACUUCCGUGAAGCCACCUGCAGGCAAUAUGAGGAGAACACAUGCAACCGUGGUGGAUACUGCAAUUUUAUGCACCUGAAAAGGAUUGGCAGGUAAGUUUUCUUGUUAUUUUUUUUAAUUGCAGAAUGUACUGAUAAGCUAAUAUUAUUUUUACUUUGUUAAAAUGUCAGGGAAUUGAGGCGUGAAUUAUUUGGGAGCUAUAAGAGAAGGCAUAGCCGCAGUCGAAGCAGGAGUCGCAGCCCUUACGGGCAUCGUAGCUAUGAAGAGCGCUCUCACCGUAGCCGGGGUCAUAGCAGAAGGUAUGAUGAUGAGGAUCGCUAUCCUGAAAGCUGGAGCCGGAGGAACAAGACUGUAAGCCCUGGUCGAAGGAAAGGACGCAGUAGAAGUAGAAGCCCUGGAAGA
rnacentral:lncRNA from 1 species